UACGUAGGGUGCAAGCGUUGUCCGGAAUUAUUGGGCGUAAAGAGCUCGUAGGCGGUCUGUUGCGUCGGCUGUGAAAACCCGAGGCUCAACCUCGGGCCUGCAGUGGGUACGGGCAGACUAGAGUGCGGUAGGGGAGAUUGGAAUUCCUGGUGUAGCGGUGAAAUGCGCAGAUAUCAGGAGGAACACCGGUGGCGAAGGCGGGACUCUGGGCCGAUACUGACGCUGAGGAGCGAAAGCGUGGGGAGCGAACAGG
rnacentral:rRNA from 1 species